CUUUGAAAAGAGGGUGAAAAGCACCUGAAACCGUCACGGGGGAAGCGGAUUGCGUGAGUGUUGGGUGCACGUGCUCAGCAUCUCUCUUUUGGGGGGGUGUGUAUUCACGUGCGCCUGCGCCGGCGUGGCUGCGUGCUGGUGGAUUUUGCACCGGCGCGUGGUGAGGGCUCCUGCUUGUCAGUGAGGACGCCGGCGAAAUGACGCAAUACGACCCGUCUUGAAACACGGACCAAGGAGUCUAGCGCGGCUGCGAGUCGAAGGGUGGCAAACCCAAGGGCGCAGUGAAAGCGAAUUUUGUGCAGAACGAAAACAGUUUGGGGCGGCAUAGCGACGUUGUCAACAUGUCCGACCCGGAGCAUGCGCGCUGGGACCCGAAAGAUGGUGAACUAUGCCGGAGUAGGGCAAAGCCAGAGGAAACUCUGGUGGAGGCUCGUAGCGAUGCUGACGUGCAAAUCGCUCGUCAAACUUGGGUAUAGGGGCGAAAGACUAAUCGAACCAUCUAGUAGCUGGUUCCCUCCGAAGUUUCUCUCAGGAUAGCGGGCCGACGAAGUGUUGUUUUGUGCGGUAAAGCGAAUGAUUAGCGCACUCGGGGGCGCAAUGCCUCUGGGCGAUUCUCAAACUUUCAAUGC
rnacentral:rRNA from 1 species